rnacentral:lncRNA from 1 species
CAGGUGUCCCAGGGUUCCUUGUGGCCACCAUGGUGGAAGAAAGCGAGCGUUGUUUUCAGCGGGCCGUUCUGAGUGCUGUGGGAGCCAGGCCACCUUGAUGGGCUGACCCAUGACAAAGUAGCACCUGGCCACUGCAAACAAGUGUCGGCGAGACCCCAUUUCUGGGCCAACCCCAGGACAGAGAUUUAAACUGUAACAUGGAAGGUGAGCUGGUCCCAGCACCUGGAAGGAAGCUCCCUCACCACCAUCCCAAGCUCCUAGGGCACAGAAGGUGAGCCACACGGGUGCCAGAAGCAAUCCCCUCCACCCCGUGGAAAUGAGAUGACACAUGAACAAGCCUCAAAAACAGACUUCUGGAUAACCUACAGCAACCCCUAAGGGAAACGAGAUGGAACACUCUGAUACUCAACCACCUGGACUCUCUGAACUGGC